GAUGAACGCUAGCGGCAGGCUUAAUACAUGCAAGUCGAACGGUAAGGUCUCUUCGGAGAUACACGAGUGGCGCACGGGUGCGUAACGCGUAUGCAACCUACCUUUAACUGGGAAAUAGCCCCGAGAAAUCGGGAUUAAUGUCCCAUACUAUUCUGAGGAUACCUAUCCUUAGAAUGAAAGCUCCGGCGGUUAUUGAUGGGCAUGCGUGACAUUAGCUAGUUGGUGAGGUAACGGCUCACCAAGGCUACGAUGUCUAGGGGUCCUGAGAGGGUUAACCCCCACACUGGUACUGAGACACGGACCAGACUCCUACGGGAGGCAGCAGUAAGGAAUAUUGGGCAAUGGACGCAAGUCUGACCCAGCCAUGCCGCGUGAAGGAUGACUGUCCUAUGGAUUGUAAACUUCUUUUAUGCAGGAAAAAUAUCCCGGUCGUGAACCGGGACUGAUGGUACUGUAUGAAUAAGCAUCGGCUAACUCCGUGCCAGCCGCCGCAGUAACAC
rnacentral:rRNA from 1 species